UUGCUCUGUCUACUCCUCUACUUCUCUUUUAAUCAGGAAAAUGGACACAAAAUACAUCUUGAUCCUUAUGCACACAGGACUUUGCACAGCAGAGCAAACAGUACUGCCCUUAUCUUGACACAAUGCCAUCUUAGUGUCUCAUGUCUUUGUGUAAUGAUCUGCCAAAGGGGUGACUGUGCCACUAGUCUUUAGGACACUGUCAACAAUAUUAGUCUAUUGCAGGAUGUAAAGGGGAUUCUUCAACCUAUUAGCAUGACUUUGCCUUAUUCUUCUUGAGAGAAGAACAACUGAGCACAGAAAGGGAAAUUAAAGUCAAAUGAACAGCAGAGCAAUUCAGAAGCUCUCAAGAGGCAGGCUCUCUUGUCUUCAAAUGUGAGUCCAGGUCAUUCAUGCUUCUCCUCCGUGGUGCCCUGGUGUCUUGCCCUUGGGCAAAACAGCA
rnacentral:lncRNA from 1 species